CCGAGCCAAUGACCUAAUUUCAAGAUGUCUGCUACCUACAUUCCGGUUAGUGUUAUGAAGCAUAAACGAAAUAAACACAUAAUUCAUUGAUACACACCGAAAGCCGGGACUCCACAGAUCAUGAGGAUAUCUUAUUUGUCUGCCUGUGUCCUACCGUUAAUGAUCACCAGCUCCGUGAGUCAAAAUGUUUAUUUUACACAACGUUUUCACCAAACAGCAAACAUCUUACAAGCGAUUUGGACAAUGAGGAUUUUGACUCAGCCAACAAAGAUUGCUUUCUAGAAGGAUUGGAUCCACUUUUAGAUCUAGUGGAGGAUGCAGAGGAUUUGGACGAUGACGUUUUGGAGCCACUCCUCCCCAGCAAGGUCUUCACCCCCCACUGCGAUGCCAAUAUCCCCGUCUGAUGGUUCUACAUCCACUUUUCAUAGACCUCUUGAAAAAGAAAAUAGGGGCUUGUGGCACCAUUCGUCCUAACAGAACUGGUUUCCCCAAGACCAAGAUAUUUUCCACAUGGAAGAGCAGGAAAUGGGCCUUUGUCCUGACGGGCACCAGUAGACAUGUCAAAGAUGGCUUCUCUCCUCUUCAGAUACCCUGAGCAGGGAGAGAGGGGGUAUGAAGGAGAGGGCAGUAUUGGGAGGGGGUAAGUUCAUACAUAGUGGGAUAUAGGUUUGAGUUUAUAGGAGAGCCCUCCCCACUUCACUUUGGGCUGUCAAUUUAUCCAUUCGCAUGAUGCAGUGAGAAUGCAAACAGACAGAGAGCCAGCCAGUCAGCACUAGCCAUCCAGACAGAGAGCACAAGCCACUCAGGCAGCCAGCACUAGCCAGUCAGACAGCCAGCCAGCACUAGCCAGAUAGACAUAGACAGCCAGCAAGCCAGUACUAGCCAGCCAGUCAGCAUUAGCCAGCCAGCCAUCCAGCACUAGCCAGAUAGCUAGCCAGCCAGCACUAGCCAGACAGCCAUCCUGCCAGCCAGCACUAGCCAGACAGACAAC
rnacentral:lncRNA from 1 species